rnacentral:rRNA from 1 species
GGUAACCUGCCCAUCAGAAGGGGAUAACACUUGGAAACAGGUGCUAAUACCGUAUAACACUAUUUUCCGCAUGGAAGAAAGUUGAAAGGCGCUUUUGCGUCACUGAUGGAUGGACCCGCGGUGCAUUAGCUAGUUGGUGAGGUAACGGCUCACCAAGGCCACGAUGCAUAGCCGACCUGAGAGGGUGAUCGGCCACACUGGGACUGAGACACGGCCCAGACUCCUACGGGAGGCAGCAGUAGGGAAUCUUCGGCAAUGGACGAAAGUCUGACCGAGCAACGCCGCGUGAGUGAAGAAGGUUUUCGGACCGUAAAACUCUGUUGUUAGAGAAGAACAAGGAUGAGAGUAGAACGUUCAUCCCUUGACGGUAUCUAACCAGAAAGCCACGGCUAACUACGUGCCAGCAGCCGCGGUAAUACGUAGGUGGCAAGCGUUGUCCGGAUUUAUUGGGCGUAAAGCGAGCGCAGGCGGUUUCUUAAGUCUGAUGUGAAAGCCCCCGGCUCAACCGGGGAGGGUCAUUGGAAACUGGGAGACUUGAGUGCAGAAGAGGAGAGUGGAAUUCCAUGUGUAGCGGUGAAAUGCGUAGAUAUAUGGAGGAACACCAGUGGCGAAGGCGGCUCUCUGGUCUGUAACUGACGCUGAGGCUCGAAAGCGUGGGGAGCGAACAGGAUUAGAUACCCUGGUAGUCCACGCCGUAAAC